rnacentral:rRNA from 1 species
UGGGGGAUAUUGCACAAUGGGCGAAAGCCUGAUGCAGCGACGCCGCGUGGGGGAUGAAGGCCUUCGGGUUGUAAACUUCUUUUGCUCUGAACAAGGCGCACCAUGGGGUGUGUUGAGUGUAGGGGUUGAUUAGCGCCGGCUAACUACGUGCCAGCAGCCGCGGUAAUACGUAGGGCGCGAGCGUUGUCCGGAAUUAUUGGGCAUAAAGGGCUUGUAGGUGGCUGGUUGCGUCUGUCGUGAAAGCUCAUGGCUUAACUGUGGGUUUGCGGUGGGUACGGGCUGGCUUGAGUGCAGUAGGGGAGGCUGGAAUUCCUGGUGUAGCGGUGGAAUGCGCAGAUAUCAGGAGGAAUACCGGUGGCGAAGGCGGGUCUCUGGGCUGUUACUGACACUGAGGAGCGAAAGCAUGGGGAGCGAACAGG